ACUCCUGCGGGAGGCAGCAGUGGGGAAUUUUGGACAAUGGGCGAAAGCCUGAUCCAGCAAUGCCGCGUGAGUGAAGAAGGCCUUCGGGUUGUAAAGCUCUUUUGUCAGGGAAGAAACGGUGAAAGCUAAUAUCUUUUGCUAAUGACGGUACCUGAAGAAUAAGCACCGGCUAACUACGUGCCAGCAGCCGCGGUAAUACGUAGGGUGCAAGCGUUAAUCGGAAUUACUGGGCGUAAAGCGUGCGCAGGCGGUUUUGUAAGUCUGAUGUGAAAUCCCCGGGCUCAACCUGGGAAUUGCAUUGGGGACUGCAAGGCUAGAAUCUGGCAGAGGGGGGUAGAAUUCCACGUGUAGCAGUGAAAUGCGUAGAUAUGUGGAGGAACACCGAUGGCGAAGGCAGCCCCCUGGGUCAAGAUUGACGCUCAUGCACGAAAGCGUGGGGAGCAAACAGGAUUAGAUACCCUGGUAGUCCCAUGAU
rnacentral:rRNA from 1 species